rnacentral:rRNA from 1 species
CAAUCUGACAGUAGAGUGGCGCAAGGGUGCGUAACGCGUAAGUAACUUUCGACCCCAAGGUAAGGAAUAACGUCGAGAAAUCGGCGCUAAUACCUCAUAAUGCAGCGGAUCCGCAUGGAUAUGUUGUUAAAGGUUUACCGCCUUGGGAUAGGCUUGCGUCUGAUUAGCUAGUUGGUGUGGUAACGGCACACCAAGGCUACGAUCAGUAACUGGUCUGAGAGGAUGAUCAGUCACACUGGAACUGAGACACGGUCCAGACUCCUACGGGAGGCAGCAGUGAGGAAUAUUGGGCAAUGCUCGAAAGAGUGACCCAGCAACGCCGCGUGGAGGAUGAAGGUAUUCUAUAUCGUAAACUCCUGUGAGAGCAGACGAAAGACAGAUUACUAAUCUGGAUGACUGUAUGCUCAGAGGAAGCCCCGGCUAACUACGUG